rnacentral:rRNA from 1 species
UACGUAGGAGACGAGCGUUGUCCGGAGUUACUGGGCGUAAAGGGUGCGCAGGUGGCGGCGCGCGUGGGGGGUGAAAUCGCCCGGCUUAACUGGGCGGGGGCCUUCCAGACGGCGUGGCUUGAGCAGCGGAGGGGGACGUGGAAUUCCGGGUGGAGCGGUGAAAUGCGUAGAUAUCGGGAGGAACACCUGUGGCGAAAGCGGCUCACUGGACCACAACUGACGCUGAGGCGCGAAAGCUAGGGGAGCAAACAGG